ACUGUAAGAUCGAUGGGCUUCACGUCUUCUCCAGUGGGAGUGAUGGGCGCCGGCUGCACGGAUCCCGGAGCCUGACUGCUGUCUACAGCGGCCUGAAGGGUGAGAAGCACGGCCGCGGAAGCAGAUACCAGGUUCGGCUGCAGCUGGGCAGUCUGGGCAGUGGAGGCAGAGGAUGGAGUCUUGCUUAGUCGCCCAAGCUGGAGUAGUGUGGCUCGAUCUCAGCUCUGCAACCUCUGCCUCCCAGGGUUCAAGCAAUUCUCCUGCCUCAGUUUCCAGAGUAGCUGGAAUUAUAGAUUCUGGGAUAGUGAACUCCACGGAAGACUCAGAAACCAAGUUCUAAUUCAGUUGCCAUGAAAACUUAAGGUGAGAGGAUUGUCAACCAGUGAAAAAUACGGAGGAAAACACUAACAGAAUAUGAUGAAGAAGCCAAGACUUGGGCUGCUUGCAUUACAUUAACCGAGGUUUACCCGCAGCGAGGCUGCCUCCAAAGCAUCCGGAGUUUGCAACCAUCACUGUCCACCCCGCGAGCUGCAAUAGUGCGAGAACUACAAUUCCCGUGGGGCUGUGCGGGAG
rnacentral:sRNA from 1 species